CUUCCUUUCUCCCCCUAUCUUCCUCUCUCUCUCUCUCUCUCUCUCUCUCUCUCUCUCUCUCUCAGCGGCAGUAGUUUUUCUCUCCCUCUUUCUCGGUCUCCGUUUCUACAAAGGGAUUGAUUCUAUCCCUACGAUUAAGUUGAAACUAGAGAGAAAGUGGGAUGAACUGACCUGUGAGAGAGGCUGAACUUGCCCAUUUUGUAAGGAGAAAACAGAGAGAUCCCUUCUUCAGCCAUUAUUCUUGCUGUCACUUCCUUUCUCCAACUAUCUUUCUCUCUCUCUUAUCCAUCCAACAACAUCUCUGUCAGCGGCAAUAGUUUCUCUCUCCCUCUUUCUCAGUCUCGGUUUCUACAAAGGAUUGAUUCUAUCCUUAUGAUUAAGGAAGAUUCUCUGAGGAAGAAAAUGAGAGCAAGGAGGGUUGUGGUGGGCUUAUGAUUAGGUUUCCUGUGGUUCCUUUUUUACUCUUUAUGUUUUUUACCCCUUCUAAUUUUAGAUUUCUUUUCGUGCAAGAAUGAACAAUACAUUUUUGUAUCC